UCAGUGGUCAACGAUGCGAUUUUCGUGAAAUCGUACGCGGAUUUGCGGAUUGCGGAUCAUUGCCAGAGACGUGGAUAUCAUAAUUGUCUCGAGUUCUUACGGACGUGGAAUUCCUGCAACAAAAUUAUGAUUUUAUGACGCUAUAAGGAUAAAAAUUGUACUAAAAAUUUGUCUACCACAUAUCUUAUUAAAAGUAAAAAGUGAUAAUAGACAGAAGGAGAUCAUAAUUUAUUCGCAAGUAAAUUUCAUCGACUAAUUGAUCCUAUUAUUCAUCGAUAACGAUACAUUAUGUGAGGUUCGAAUUGCAAGAUAACCAGUUUGUUUACGUUCUUGACGAAUCGUUACAUAGCUUUGCGUCAGAAGGAUGGCAUAACGACGCUCGAAGUGAAUGGAGAAGGAGGAAUAUUUAUUUAUCUUGGCUGAUCAGAAAUGAUUGAGUGACUCUCAUUAUGAGGCAAGUUCCACUCGAUGUCGUUAUAACGUUAUACAUCAUCGAAGAUCCUCCUAUGUAACUUGCCUAAGACAUCGAUGAUGUUAAGUGGUUGAGAUAUUGUCGAUUUAAAGUCUCACGCUGUUUUUUUUUUUUUUUUGAAUAAAAGUAUGCUAUGCUUAA